GCGGGCGUAGUAUAGUGGUAGUACGGGACCCUUCCAAGGUCUAGGUGGGAGUUCGAUUCUCCUCGCUCGCUCAA
rnacentral:tRNA from 1 species